UUUUUGUUUAUUUCUAUUUGAUCGCAAAGCUCUUGAUUUGUAGAAAGCAACACAGUAGCAUGUUCCAGUUUAUCCAAUUCUACAAGACAUUCUUCAAGCACUUUCAAACAAGCAUUCAAGUCUCCUUCAAUUAACUGUAAACUGUUCAAUUUUGUAUGCAGAAUUUUUGACUUUUUAUCCAGUUCCACUUGCUGCGACCGAUCAUUUUGUAUCCGUAACGAUGUGUCUGCUAUCUUUCCUUUCAGCUUUUCAGGAGAAUGUACAAUAGAGGACUGAAGUUUUUCAAUUUCUUCCAAAGUACUGGCCAUUAAUGAAUCGACGUUGUGAUACCUAAUCUUUAACUCUGAGGCCUCCAUUCUAAUGCGAUCAUAUUCUGUACGAACUUGAGAGCACAAUCGUUUGUCUUCUAUCAAAGACUGAAACAUUUCUUCGUUUCUUUCUUCAUUCUGUUUAAUAAUUGCCUCACUUUCCAAUUUCCUAUCUUGGCUUAACAAAACUUUUUCCUCUAAAUCUUUUCGUUGUGCAUCUAAAAGGGUAUACGUUUCCAGAAGGCUUUCUCGCUUCUGUAUAUCAUCAUCAAAUUGCUGUAACCUCUCUUCUCUGAGUUUUGCAAAAUUAAUAACUGCUGAUAAAAUUAGUUGUAGUCGAUUUCUGUCUGGUUUCAAUAGGUCUUGAAUCGUAAAGUCAUGAAAACAGAUGUUUUGCAUGAAUUGACUUAAAAUCUGAUAAAAAACAGUAAAUCUUAAAGACUCAUGUAUUAUCUCGAAAUUCUCGACAGAAUCUUGUAACGAAUUAACCUUCUCUUCUAAAUUCUGGCGGGUCAACCCCAUAAACAAGUCAAGAAAUUCUUCAUACAGAGGGAUGACGGCUUUCGAGGUUGGUUGGUCAAGCUCUUUAGCCGUGAAUGGAAUUCCAAGACCAUCUAUGCAUUCUAAAAUCUCAGCACGCUUCAAAGAAGGAAAUGUGUGUUUUCGUGCCAUGGUAAAGUUGAUGGUUAACUGAACAACUGGAUUUUACGUAUUUAAUCUGCUUUGAUUGUGAAU